rnacentral:rRNA from 1 species
AUUGAACGCUGGCGGCAUGCCUAACACAUGCAAGUCGAGCGAACGAAGGGGGCUCUUUCUUUUAUGCAGCUGCCGACGGACGGGUAAGUACUACGAAGCUGCCUGGCAUAUGAGAAUAGCGUCAGUUAAGGGACCCUAAGACAGUAUAGGUUAUUAUGUUGAAAGGCAUGGAUCAUCAGAGCAAACGCUAUUAGAUGACACUAAGACGUAUUAGCUAGUUGGUUUGGUAACGGCUUACCAAGGCGACGAUCCAUAACUGGUCUGAGAGGCUGAUCAGUCACACUGGAACUGAGACACGGUCCAGACUCCUACGGGAGGCAGCAGUAGGGAAUCUUCCACAAUGGGCGAAAGCCUGAUGGAGCCACGCCGCGUGUGUGAAGAAGGUCUUCGGAUUGUAAAACACUGUAAGUAGGGAGGAAGAGAAGUAAAAGUAUCUCUUCAUGUCUUGACGUUACCAACACAGAAAGCCACGGCUAACUACGUG